CAGCAGCCGCGGGAAUACGUAGGUGGCAAGCGUUGUCCGGAAUUAUUGGGCGUAAAGCGCGCGCAGGUGGUUUAAUAAGUCUGAUGUGAAAGCCCACGGCUCAACCGUGGAGGGUCAUAGGAAACUGUUUAACUUGAGUGCAAGAGGGGAGAGUGGAAUUCCAUGUGUAGCGGUGAAAUGCGUAGAUAUAUGGAGGAACACCGGUGGCGAAAGCGGCUCUCUGGCUUGUAACUGACACUGAGGCUCGAAAGCGUGGGGAGCAAACAGGAUUAGAUACCCGAGUAGUCCCUGUCUCUUAUAC
rnacentral:rRNA from 1 species